rnacentral:miRNA from 1 species
UGACAGUUACCAGGUGCCAA